UAGGGAAUCUUCGGCAAUGGGAGCAACCCUGACCGAGCAACGCCGCGUGAGUGAAGAAGGUUUUCGGAUCGUAAAGCUCUGUUGUAAGAGAAGAACGUGUGUGAGAGUGGAAAGUUCACACAGUGACGGUAACUUACCAGAAAGGGACGGCUAACUACGUGCCAG
rnacentral:rRNA from 1 species